rnacentral:rRNA from 1 species
ACUCCGAAACUGCAUUCGAUACUGCCGUGCUUGAGGACUGGAGAGGAGACUGGAAUUUACGGUGUAGCGGUGAAAUGCGUAGAUAUCGUAAGGAAGACCAGUGGCGAAGGCGGGUCUCUGGACAGUUCCUGACGCUGAGGCACGAAGGUCAGGGGAGCAAACGGGAUUAGAUACCCCGGUAGUCCUGACAGUAAACGGUGCACGUUUGGUGUGGGAGGAUUCGACCCCUUCUGCGCCGGGGCUAACGCGUUAAACGUGCCGCCUGGGGAGUACGGUCGCAAGAUUAAAACUCAAAGAAAUUGACGGGGGCCCGCACAAGCGGUGGAGUAUGUGGCUCAAUUCGAUGCAACGCGAAGAACCUUACCAGGCCUUGACAUGCAUUGCUAAGUUGGUGAAAGCCAGCGACUGGAGCAAUCCAGACCUUGCACAGGUGCUG